rnacentral:lncRNA from 1 species
AGGCAGGCGGGACAUGACUGUAGCUCCUUCCCACCAUAGGCUCAAUCACUGCUCGGGAGUUUAACUGGUUAAACGCACGCAUUUCAGCUUCUGGAAGUUUGUGUUGUGAUGUUCCAUGGCUCACCAGACUGCACUGAGCCUGUGGCACUGUCAGGAAUCAUUUUUCACUCAAGAUCAGAAGCAGGUAAAGUUGUGGUUAGGAUUUGCUGGAUCAGCAGGGUGUGGGGAAUGGGGUAGCGGGACUGGAGGUUCCUGGGAGUCCUGCUGGAGCUGGCUCUGCUGUUUACAUUCCCCCUGGAGCUCCUCCUCCAGGCUCAGGGCAGGGGUCAAAGGAUGUCCGCCCCUGGUCUUCCUGUUCAGACUAAGUGGACAAGGGAGCUCCACUCCCCUGAGAGAAGGGCUUUCUUGUUGGCCCCUAAGCUCAGGCUAAGCAAAUCUCUGACCUAAUUCGGCUGAUUUAGUCUCGUGACCGCUAUCGCGGUACAGAAAUCACUGAGCAAAAGGCCCCUCUUCAGUUUUGCUUGAGGAUUUGUUUUUAACUUUCAGUUUCCUGAGCUUAAAUCCACUUUUAAGUUGCAUGGCCUGGAUUCUUGCAACUUACAGAUAUCAAUAGCAAUCAUUUUAGCUUUCUUCUAUUGAAAGCAGUUGUAAAUGGAAACAAGUUUUAAGGCAGACUGUUCAUACUCUAGCAACAUGGUAUUACCCUGAAGAGUUGUACAACAGAAGCCUAUGUGAAGAAUUUAUUUGAAAGACGAUGUUAAUUUUAUUAGUUUUGCAACUCACGACCUAGCUAUGCUUUUAUAUACCUCACUUUACACUUUACCAAUUGAGUUCCUUUAAAAAGUGUUAGCCAGCUAACUCUUUUUUUAAAAAAAGAAUUUGAUUCAUGCUGAAAUUUUAAAAUAAAUCUAAUACCUCUUUUCUUCAUCAGAGUAGGUCUGAGUUAAUCAGCCAUUUAACACAAACUCUGUUUUUGGAGGGUAAGGAAGGACAGGAAUUGUCCUGUCAUUUCUAAGGUCCCUGUCUUCACAGGAGUCAUGAGAGGUGGAGGUGUGGCCUCUGAGAAUAAGUCGGUGUAGGCAAAGGCAAAGGCUCCCCCAGGAUGGUAAAUUCUCUGCAUGCACUGCUUAGGUAGGCAGGCAGUCUCUGCCCUCAGGGCUUUCCCUCCAGUCUCUGAAAUGUCCAGACCUUUCUCCUCCUGCUUUUUCAUCCUCUCUGCUUCUGCAGCAAGCUCACUCUUGCUUUUCAGCUCUUGUUUGGAGACCUUUAUGCUUGCAAAGUGUAGAUGUUUUCAGCUAGCCCCUUCUGGUGCGUGUCCCUGCAAACGUGCUGCUCUUGGCCAACUAUACUCCAUUUUACCAUGUUGAAGGUGGCUCACUGUAGCUUCGAAGCAAGACAGCUGUGGUAAUCUGGAAGCCAACUUGAGUUUACGUUUUUUCUCCUCAUCAGAAGGAACCAGAGAUCUUACCGUUAAGUUGGGUUUUCUUUUUUUGGCUGGCGGAAUGUGGCCAGCAGACGAUGAUAAGCCAUGUCUCCCUUCUUGCUUUUUAUCUGCUCCUCUCGCUAGCUUCUCACUCAGCCUUUACUCUGUGGGAUUCUCAAGUGAAUAUUCAUCUCCUUUCCCCAUCCCCACUCCUUUCUUUCCUUGUAGGGACCAUGGUAAGUAAUGACAUGUCUGAAAUUCAGGCGAUUCGUGUGGUUUAGCGGAAAUAAAAGGGAAGAAUGGGCUGAUUUCAAUGGCUUUCUUGUGCCUUGGCCGGCAGUGUAAUUGGAUAAAGCACUGUGAAUCCAGGACCUUGUUCUGAGUGGUGUCUGCAACAGCAUCGCUGUAUUCUAAGUGGGAAGCAGACACAGGCCAAGCUCUGUGAGCACAGCCAUCCUCACGACCUCCCAGCGCAGAAGGGAAGGGCUGGCCGCUCAGUGUGCGCACAGGUCUUUGGGAGAAGUGAUUUGUGAGCUGUGGUUUUAUAAAGUGGCUUAAUAAAACUGUUCAUUUGGUCUCCGUUGGGUUAAAGUAAGCAGCUGUCUAUGGUGAUUAUCUGGCUGAGGAGUUCUGCCUAAUACAUCUUCUUUCUACUAUAUGAUAAACACAUAUCAGUAAACAAACGGCCAGGGAAUCACAGCCCUUCAGGAAUGGUAGCCUCAAGAUCUGGGUGGGUGUGUCUGAUGAGUAAAUUUAUUACUGAAGAUAUCUCUCAAAGGAGAUAUCUCCAAGAGGUGACAUUUCACUUUUCUUUGACGAAUGUAUCAGCUGCAUAUGGUAACUAUUAUUAAAUUGAAAACAGCCUUUAUAUCCCUGCUAGAAUAUAUUUCAAAAUCUAGAAUGUUUAUUUCUUCUGGACCAGAGUAACUGAAUUUUUAAAAAAGACACAAGACCAACAAUGCAAUCCUGUGCAAGUUUUGUUCCCUAAGGACUCCAGGCUGGGAGGUUAGCAGGCUGGGAGGUUAUAUGGCAGAGACUCUGUUUGGCCAGCGCACCUCAGGAGUGUGUGCUGGCACACCAUGAAUGUUGAGGGUGAACUGGUUGCUUAGCAGAAAUUACUAUAGAAGAGUUUUUCUAAGUUACAGAUUUUUUUUUUAAGUGCAACUGAUAUCUAGCUGAGUCUUUGGUGGGUUCGGCUUGCUUCAUUGAUCUUUCAUAUAUUAGUGAUCAGCAGAUAACUGUGUGAAAUUAAAAGAGGUGGAGAACAGGGAUCUAUCGGAACACUCUAAAAGUUCGUCUCAAGUGUAAGUGCCUGCAGUUAGAAAGUGAAAGUUGAACAUCACAAGGGUCUCAGCCCUUUAGAUGGAAGGUUGGGAUGCUCAGGAGACUUCUGUACCCCUGGCCAAGGAUCCUCACACAUUCUGUGCAGCGGGCUUCUUCAGUGUCCUUCAGCUGGGUGGGUGGCUUAUUGAGGCCAGGGUGCCUUUUGUCAUUUCCAGAGUGUCUGGAUUUAGAUAAUGGGGCAACAAAAUAAACAUGUCAGCCUACCCAUCUGUGGAACAUGUAAUUUAGAAGGACCCCUGUUAGCUAAUUAUAUUUC